GACGAACGCUGGCGGCGCGCUUAACACAUGCAAGUCGAACGGAAAGGCCUGCUUUCCCUUGUGGUUUGCGGGUACUCGCGUGGCGAACGGGUGAGUAACACGUGAGUGAUCUGCCCCCAACUUGGGUAUAAGCCUGGGAAACUGGGUCUAAUUCCCGAUAGGACUGCAGGGUGGUGCCUGUGGUGGAAAACGAUUUUCUAGUGGUUGGGGAUGAGCUCGCGGCCUAUCAGCUUGUUGGUGGGGUAAUGGCCUACCAAGGCGGCGACGGGUAGCCGGCCUGAGAGGGUGGACGGCCACAUUGGGACUGGGAUACGGCCCAGACUCCUACGGGAGGCAGCAGUGGGGAAUAUUGCACAAUGGGCGGGAGCCUGAUGCAGCGACGCCGCGUGGGGGAUGACGGCCUUCGGGUUGUAAACUCCUUUCGACCGCGAGGAAGCCACCUGGUUGGAAGGGUGGUGACGGUAGUGGUAGAAGAAGCACCGGCUAACUACGUG
rnacentral:rRNA from 1 species